AUUUUAGCAAAGGAAAAAUUAAUGUUGUGCUGUAGUCAUCACUUUGUAAGUGAAAGUGCAUGUAAGCUAUUACUUCAUGCAAGAUAAGGAUGUAGAAACAGAAGAGAGAUUGCUGAGUCAGUAAAAGUCAGCAACAUUUUAAAUCAAGGACCUGGAAUCAUCAACAAUUUGAGGGAAAAAAGAGGUGGCACAUUCUGAAAGGGAUAUAAAUUCUAAGAAAAGGAAAAUUGAAGAGGAAGAUUGCAAUUCUGCAGGAGCAAGGCCAACACUUCAGCCAACUGACCACUACUGUAUGUGUUGGACAGCAAGAUUCUUGUCUUGUACUCAGAAGUUGUAUAUAAUCCUGCUUUUCAGCUUCUGUGGCCAGUAAGAGAUAACCAAAGAACAGCAACCCAGAGAUCUGGGUGUUAUUGUGUUGUCAAAGUACAGUACAGCCAAACUUUAGGUUAACUCUUCUGUUUAAAGGGCUCUUCACAGAAAAAAAAA